UUCUUGAAAACAGCUACUAGAUUGAAGUAUAAGUUCUUAAAUAUAACAUGCUAGGUGAAUCGAAUUCCCUAAGAAUCCUAAAUCUUCCACAGGUUCUGUCAACGGAGCCAACUCGGCUGAUCUUGCCAAGAAAGAAGACAUUGAUGGAUUCCUCGUUGUGGUGCAUCUCUAAAGGGUCCUGAGUUUGCUACUAUCAUCAACUCUGUCACUGCUAAGAAGGUGGCUGCCUAGUUUCACAUCGAAAGGAAGGAAAAAUGAGUGAGAGAAUCAACUGUAACACAAGUAUCUUGGGCCGUACCGUCUCGCAGGUAGAUAUCUUCCCUUGUCCUCCCGAAACUAUGAUAAACUAUUGAUUUCCCCAUACUAGGAUCAUCAUUUUUCCAUGGUUGGUUUGUAACAUUACCUCGUAACUUUAAUUAUAUAUCUGAAAUAAAAGGAGGGCGUUAUUCCU